GUGGAUGUAGCUCAGUCGGUUAGAGCGCUAGUUUGUGGAUCUAGAGGUCGAGGGUUCGAUCCCCUCCAUUCACC
rnacentral:tRNA from 2 species